UCGGGAAUUUUGGGCAAUGGGCGAAAGCCUGACCCAGCAACGCCGCGUGAGGGAUGAAGUAUUUCGGUAUGUAAACCUCGAAAGAAUGGGAAGAAUAAAUGACGGUACCAUUUAUAAGCUCCGGCUAACUACGUGCCAGCAGCCGCGGUAAUACGUAGGGAGCAAGCGUUGUUCGGAUUUACUGGGCGUAAAGGGCGCGUAGGCGGCGCGGUAAGUCACUUGUGAAAUCUCUGAGCUUAACUCAGAACGGCCAAGUGAUACUGCUGUGCUAGAGUGCGGAAGAGGCAACCGGGAUUCUUGGUGGAGCGGUGAAAUGCGUAGAUAUCAAGAGGAACACCUGAGGCGAAGGCGGGUUGCUGGGCCGACACUGACGCUGAUGCGCGAAAGCCAGGG
rnacentral:rRNA from 1 species